UACGGAGGGUGCAAGCGUUAAUCGGAACUACUGGGCGUAAAGGGUGCGUAGGCGGUUGUUUAAGUCUGUUGUGAAAUCCCCGGGCUCAACCUGGGAAUGGCAAUGGAUACUGGGCAGCUAGAGUGUGUCAGAGGAUGGUGGAAUUCCCGGUGUAGCGGUGAAAUGCGUAGAGAUCGGGAGGAACAUCAGUGGCGAAGGCGGCCAUCUGGGACAACACUGACGCUGAAGCACGAAAGCGUGGGGAGCAAACAGG
rnacentral:rRNA from 1 species